rnacentral:lncRNA from 1 species
UGCAAGAGUGAGAUGAAAUGUGUGGGGAAUGCUGCUUCCUUUCUAGUGAGAUUUUCAGAGGCUACAGGGCUGUUUAAAGAACCAUAGCACACAUAAGAGCACUGAGAGGAGCUGGUGCCCAAGGAUUGAUUAAAUUAGAAAUGCAUAGAUGGAGUAGUGACCAAGUAUGUGAUAUUAACAUUGAAAAGGUGCAAUUAGCAAGCAAGAAAAGAAUAGAAAUAGAGGCAGCAACAGGAACAAAAAGUCAGCAAGAACAGGUUUGUGAGAGAGACCCAGAGGACUUUUACCUCUGGACAGACUUCACGAUAGCUAUAACAGACAUAACAGUUGCACAGCCUGGGCUUAGCUAGAGAGCCAUGCCAGACUCGAUGUGCUGAGUCUUCUUAUUUCCCUUACUCUUUUGGUUGUAUCUUGGGCUCAAUGCUAGUGUCCUGUCUCUUGCUCUGAAUCCCCUGGCCUUGUUCCCAAUCAGGUCUCUCUUGGCACUGAGCCAAAUGUGCAUAUUCUUUGUUUGAGCUACUACCCUAUAACAUGGAGGCCAGACCUCACUCCCAUCAGGAUGUAUUUCCACAGGACCUAGUACCCUCCUAGCAACAUAGUACUUAGAAUGGUUUCUGCAUUGGUAUUAUUUUGAGAUCUCAGGAGGUUUGUUUGGAUAUUUCUCAUGUAGUCCUUGAGAUUCUCUCUGAGCCCAUUCCCGGCAUGAAAGAAGAUGCAGGAUUUGCAGACAGAAUCAGCCCCUGGGGACCAUCUCCAGGGAAGGAGAUAUUGUGGCAGCACAGAGCAAAGAGGUUUCCCCGUAGCACCAUGCACGGUUGUAAAAGGAGGGAGGAACCAGCAGUUUUUAACCCACAUCCUCCAGCAGCUGCAUGCACGUACCUUGCUCCGCAGGAUACAAGCACAGCCAUGCACCACCCUGUCAGGAUCCAGACUGCAUAGCUCAGAUUGUCAUGGAGACUGUUUCAAAGUCUUGCCGUGCUUCAGCAGCAGCAGCAGAGGACAAUAGCACUUGGUCUUAAAUGGCUGAAAAGAAAGCAGUGUAAAAGAGAAGGCUGAAAGGGAUACAAGUACAGCAAGACACUCUUCCAGCUGCUGCAGAGGGCUGGAGGUGCAGGGUACAGCAGCCUUCCAGAGGUGUAUAAUUGUGCCUUCAAGAUAAGCACAGGAAGAGCAUUGUCAAGGAUAGCACGUUUCUCCUCCUUCUUCCUCCCCCUCAAGCUAAGUUGCUGGCAUGUUUUAGAUUAAAUCUGUUAAUUAGGAA